UUCCCCGGGCUCGCAGGGAGGUUCGUGGGCAUCUGCGCAGCUAAGGACCGGGCGGAAGCUUGGAGAUAAGUCUUUCCUCCCGAGUUCCCCAAAACCCACCAGGAGAACCUGCAGCCUCGGCUGUGUUCUCUGUCGCGGACACAGAAAGAAACUCCUUACUUCAUUCAUGGAGUCUUCUCGACGCCUUGCCAGGGAAGCGUUUAUACCUUUUUUCUUUUUAGGCAAGUGAGGAAGAUGAUGCCGGACUUUCCCAAUGGCCACACACAGUCAGUGGUGAGGCGGAGAGGCCGGCGGCCUUGGCAGCCGUGAGGGCAGCCCCCGGGGCCGGGGCGCCUGGCACGCUCCCCUGAAGUUCAUGGCCCAGCGGGUACGGCUCCGCGGGCACUAACGCCUGGCCGAGUGUGACGGGCAAACGGUGGCGAGGCCUGGCUUAGAGUGAAGGGACUUCUUAGCGUCCUCGGGAUGUUGAUGAGCGGCGUGAAGCACCCAGGCGGGGAUACAGCACCUGGCAUUUCCCAAGCUUGUUUCACCCCAGAGGGAAUGUCAGUAUCUUCCUGAGCAGUGUUCCUCGCAUGCCGGUUUGGGAAACACGCCUACUGGUGUGCAGGGUGAUGCCGUCGUUCUCCUUGACGCCCACAUCUCCAUCUACAGCCCACAUCCCCCUCAGUGCAACCGUUCAGCUCAGAGGUCACCUUCCCUGGGAACCUUCAGGGAGAAACAUCCGGCUGGGGUGAGGCGUCUGUGUCCUGUGCUUUCUCCCAGCACCGCAGGGGCUGCGCUGUAGCUGACCCAGGGGCGAGGGGCCGGGCACAGGUAAAGGAGACACCUAGGCUGGGAACUUACAUGGACUUCGUGGAUCCUUUUCAAAGUCACCUUCUCCCCGAUGGCGGUCUCCAUGUGGUUAGAUGAAGAGACGAAACCUGCAUGAAAAAGGAAAGGAAAUAAGCCCUUGAGGCCUCAAAGAGGAAGGAGAUGGAGAUUCCACUGGUUUCCUGAGGAAAGAAAGCUGGAAGGCUGGAAGCUUUCCCACAGACACUGAAGCAAAGAGACAAGGUAACCGGGAUGAACUUGGCCGCACAGGACAGGAGGGUGCCAAAAUCUUCAAGCAGAUCACGAGUCACGGCCAAAUGCAGUUAGGAGCCAGGGUCAGGAUGCCCAGGAUCAGUCCCCAGGGGAGAACCCCCUGUCCUGAGAAAGCACAGCCCUUGCUCAGCCUGUGCGUGAAGGUAAGACCCUGUCUGGGCUGGCGUCCUGGCUGGCAGAGGUCACAAGCAGUGGACAUGGGGCCGCAGACUCACGUGUCACCUCUCCGUGGCAGAAAAGGACCCCCAUGGACUGGACCUUUCGCCGAAGCCCCUGGAGCAGACACCAGGGGUCAAACCAACCUUCGUUCUCCAACCCUGUGAGGAGAACGAGGAUGCGUGAAGGCGGGCUAGGACCCUCCUCUCCUGUUGUCUCUCCUGCACCCCUAAAUCUUCUUUAGGGCUCGUAAGCUGGGGAGUCACAUUGACCAACUGCACCAGAGUCAGAUCCCGCGGAAGGACAGAGAGCCGGCCCGGCCCGGGAGAGGCCCUGCAGCCAGGAGGGAAGCGCUCCUCCUUGACUCGGCUGCAGGGUGCCGAGACUCCUAACCUGAGGCGCCCCUCAACCCCUGACGCCCUCUGCACGCAAGCCUCACCGUAAGAUGCCAAAGCCACUCCCUCCGUGUUCAUCCAGGGAAACUUCUUCCGAAGCUGCUCCGGAGACAUCAGGCAAACUUUGGCUCCUUGCUGCCUGGAGAAAUGUGUGGGUCUAUGUAUGUGUGCUGGGUGAGUGUCUGGGGGGAGAAGUAUGGGCCCCAGCUCCACAACUCACUCCUCUGCCCCCAACUCCCCACGUAUCCUCCUUGCUUCCUGGAAAAGAGCAAGCUCCUAGUCAAGGCUCUUCAGCAUCUGACCCCGUUUCCUUUAUGACACCCUGGCCUCCCUUUGGCCACGCUAAACGCCUUAUUACCCCCUAACUGUUCCUCGUGCUUUCACAACAGGGCGGGUCACUCUGUUCCCUCCACUCCUUCUGCCCAGGACAGCCUUCCCGUCCACCUCCUAGAACAAUCCUGCUCACCAGCACAACUAUCUCCUUCUGGGACCUUCAUGCCCAAAGACAGCAUUGUAUGCGCUAAAAGGACACACUCACAAGGCGAACUGCCUGGUUCAAGUCCCAGCGCCACCACUUACUAGCUCUGGGGGCCUCAGUUUUCUCACAUGUAAAAUGGGCAUGUUCUGAUGAUUAAACAAGUUAACAUUUAUAAUGCAUUUAGGACGUGACCUGAUGUCACUAGUGAAACUCGUAGAAGGUUCUGCUAAAGGGUCUCAGGCACAGAGAUCAGGCUGCCUGCACAGCCAUAUGGGGGCAG